UAUUUCAAGGGGUGGAAUUUAUGGUCGGAGACUUGUCUUUUAUGUGUCCUGAGUUCAUCCAGGUGAUGGACCCACCUCAGAGUUGAAUGAAAUUUGGUGGAUGGUGUAUACAAAUUCAAUGGAGAAGAUUUGUUGAGAAGACUGAGAGGGAAGAGUAUUUUGUUUGUGGGGGACCUUAAUUCCUUAAUCAAUUCACAUAUUCUGUCUCAAAUAAAUUAUACAUGAGCAUAUACAACCUAUUCAAGUGGACCUCCAAUAUCUUCUGAUUUGUNAGACUAUGAUAGAG